GGGAAUUCAAAGCUUUUCAUAAAAGACAUGUUAUUCCCGUUCUACCUCAACACAAACAACGCUUAAACCUCCCACACACGAGUAUACAAGAAAAGUUUAACUGCUAAAACGCGAAUGUUAAAAUCGUUCAAUAAAACAACAUACAAACACUUAUUUCCUAUCCCACGAACUAUGGGGCUCUUAUUUUCUCAUUGCACUAUGAGAAUACGUAGGCACAUGAUUUCAAAAUCUUGGCGAGCACAUUAAUUAAAAACUUAUUUUCCCCUUAAUUAAAAC
rnacentral:lncRNA from 1 species